GAUGAACGCUAGCGGCAGGCUUAAUACAUGCAAGUCGAGGGACAGCACAGGUAGCAAUACUGGGUGGUAACCGGCAAACGGGUGCGGAACACGUACACAACCUUCCUUUAAGUGGGGGAUAGCCCAGAGAAAUUUGGAUUAAUACCCCGUAAUAUAGUUGAAUGGCAUCAUUUGAUUAUUAUAGCUACGGCGCUUAAUGAUGGGUGUGCGGCUGAUUAGAUAGUUGGCGGGGUAACGGCCCACCAAGUCUACGAUCAGUAGCUGAUGUGAGAGCAUGAUCAGCCACACGGGCACUGAGACACGGGCCCGACUCCUACGUGAGGCAGCAGUAAGGAAUAUUGGUCAAUAGACGCAAGUCUGAACCAGCCAUGCCGCGUGAAGGAUUAAGGUCCUCUGGAUUGUAAACUUCUUUUAUUUGGGACGAAAAAGGGCCUUUCUAGGUCAACUGACGGUACCAGAUGAAUAAGCACCGGCUAACUCCGUGCCAGCCGCCGCGGUAAAAC
rnacentral:rRNA from 1 species